rnacentral:sRNA from 1 species
CGGGGAACUUCCUCACAGACAUCAACGGCCUCACUGAGAACGCUCAUUUCCUGUCAUUGGUGGUGUUGAUGCUUCUCUGUCUCCACACAGGGGGUGACGAUGGCCUUCUGAGGGGCUGGGACACCAGGGUACCCGGCAAAUUUCUCUUCACCAGCAAAAGACACACCAUGGGUGUGUGCAGCAUCCAGAGCAGCCCUCAUCGGGAGCACAUCCUGGCCACGGGAAGCUAUGAUGAACACAUCCUACUGUGGGACACACGAAACAUGAAGCAGCCGUUGGCAGACACGCCCGUGCAGGGUGGGGUAUGGAGAAUCAAGUGGCACCCUUUCCACCACCACCUGCUCCUGGCCGCCUGCAUGCACAGUGGCUUUAAGAUCCUCAACUGCCAAAAGGCAAUGG